AAACGUGAAGGAAUCACGCUGACCAAAUCGAAUUCAACAAUCCCAGAGGUUGAUAACCACCGAGAAGAAAAGUUCUAGAUAGAUCUGAUGAUUUAUAGUGUUUGAUUGAUUUCGGUGAGGUGGUUGUUCAUCUGUUUUUUCUGUUAUCAGUGCUUACCACCUGUUUGAGAAAAGCAGUAGCAGCUACAGGAACUACAACAGUAGCAGCUGCAGGGAUUCUAGAUGGAUGAAGAGGAGUGGGGUUAUAUUGAAGCCAGACCCGAUUUUUUGGAAGACAAACUGCAACAAGAUUUUCUUAAACGAAUACGAUAUGUCAUCAAACUAGAUGAAGCUUAUGGUCUUAUAUUCUCUUUUGACAAUGUUGUGACCAAUCCAUUGAGAUAAUAACACUGCAUGUAACAUUCUUUCGAAGAAAUCCAUAUGUCGAUAUUGGUUUGAACUAAAAGAAACUAAGAAAUGAAUGAUGCACAUUCGCAGUGAUAUAGAACGCUUACAUUGCAACUUCAGCUAUACAACUUUUGCCAUCCCAAUUGAUCGACGGGUAUAUAACUUUCUGUUUACACCCUACCAAACAGUGUGUUCUCCUAUUUUUCAUCCAGCUUUUAUCUAAUAUACAUUUGAAAUUGCUGAAAAAGGUAACCAUACUAUAUUCUUACUUCUUUACAGUAUAAUUCCAUUGUCAUAUAAAUUUAUUACAUGUGUUACAAUAUUUUAUUUCCUUGCCUAGGGUGCCUUCUUAUCAAUCAACAGUAUUGGAGAAAAACUUUGAGCGAUGCAGUAAACAACAUUUGUCGUAUUUUGUCAAUUAAUAAUAAUUCUGCAAUUUUUGGUGU